rnacentral:rRNA from 1 species
AACGAACGCUGGCGGCAGGCUUAACACAUGCAAGUCGAGCGCCCCGCAAGGGGAGCGGCAGACGGGUGAGUAACGCGUGGGAAUCUACCCAUCUCUACGGAAUAACGCAUGGAAACGUGUGCUAAUACCGUAUACGUCCUUCGGGAGAAAGAUUUAUCGGGGAUGGAUGAGCCCGCGUUGGAUUAGCUAGUUGGCGGGGUAAAGGCCUACCAAGGCGACGAUCCAUAGCUGGUCUGAGAGGAUGAUCAGCCACACUGGGACUGAGACACGGCCCAGACUCCUACGGGAGGCAGCAGUGGGGAAUAUUGGACAAUGGGCGCAAGCCUGAUCCAGCCAUGCCGCGUGAGUGAUGAAGGCCCUAGGGUUGUAGAGCUCUUUCACCGGUGAAGAUAAUGACGGUAACCGGAGAAGAAGCCCCGGCUAACUUCGUGCCAGCAGCCGCAGUAAGAC